CCAUGCAAGUCUAAGUACAUGCCGUAAUAAGGUGAAACCGCGAAUGGCUCAUUAAAUCAGUUAUGGUUCCUUAGAUCGUACUUUUCUACUUGGAUAACUGUGGCAAUUCUAGAGCUAAUACAUGCAGCAGAGCUCCGACCUUCGGGGACGAGCGCUUUUAUUAGACCAAGACCAAUACGGACUUCGGUUCGUACGCCACGGCGACUCUGGAUAACUUUGGGCUGAUCGCACGAUCUCGCAUCGGCGAUAUUUCUUUCAAGUGUCUGACUUAUCAACUUUCGAUGGUAGUCUAUGCGCCUACCAUGGUCGUAACGGGUAACGGGGAAUCA
rnacentral:rRNA from 1 species